GGGCAGUGGAGGUCGCCAGCUUUCCUCCCUUGACCCUGGGAGAUGGGUUGGGAGGGGCUGCACAGAAUAGCUGGUGUCCCACCCUCUAGGAGGGGCUGCUGUGGACAUCUGGGCAACAUCUGGAUUCCUGGCAGGACAGGGAACUUGUCUAUUUGAGAUCCUCCAGGGAUAUACCAUCCACCCCUUGGUGGCCCCUCAGCACUACAUUCCUGGGGAGCUCUUUACAAACAGGUGUAUAGGACCCAGCCCCGUAAUGUGGGUGAAUUCAUGCCAAUCUAGGAGGGUCCUGACAUACGUCCUUCGGAUGUGGCCUAGGGGCCUGGGCAGCAGCCUGCUCUUCUGGGCUAUUCCACCUUUCCGCCUCCUGCCCUCCUGUCGGAGUGCGCACGGUGAGAUGCUUGUCUUCCCUGUGUGGAAAUGCUGGGAAAUAGGAGGCUCUGGUGUCCAUCCUCUCCAUUCCCCUUCCUCCAGAUUUGAUAGACCCACCAUCCUGAGCCAGCGCAUGAGGCUCCCAUGUGGACCAUUUGUGAAGCACAUUACAGUUUACAGUGUUGAUCUCACUUCACCUCAAAGUCUGACGGCUCUGCCAGCCCUGGCCCUGCACUGCUCAUGUCACAACCUGUGGGCACCUCCUCUGUACCAAGGGUGGAAUAGAGGCAGGGAGAGAGAGAUUUGUAGACACAGCGACUCGGAGACACACAGGGAAGAUGGACACAUGAUGAUGGAGGCAGAGAUUGGAGUGAUGCAGCUGUAAGCCAAGGAACACCGGGGAUUGCUGGCAAACGCCAGGAGCUAGGAGAGAGGCAUGCAACAGAC
rnacentral:lncRNA from 1 species